AAUAAAUAAAUAAAUAAAAACCUUUUCACUCCCUCACUCUCUCUCUCUCCUCCCCCUCGCGCCGUCGCUUGCCUCCGCCUCCGUUCUUCUUCGUCCUCCUCACCGCGUCGCCUCCUCCGCCGAUUCCCCCCCCACCCUCCGCCGCGACAUUCCUCCGCCAGAAGUCGCCGCUGGUUCACCCUCCCUCCGCGUCGUUCUCUUCUGCCCAGACCUUCUCUUUCUCCUCCAGCAGCCCACCAGUCCAGACCAGGCGCCAUCGCCUUCCUCCGUUGAUUUAGACGUUGUCGAUCAUCUUCUUCCUUCGCGUCUUCUCCUUUUUCUUCUUCUUCUUCUUUGCUGAUUUCCUUCCGCCGCUGAGACACCGCUUCGGCCAGAAGACGACCUCCAGUAACGCCGCCUGUGUCGAACCAGUCCUUCCGACGCCCAGCGCCCCCUGCGACUCCACGCCGCCGCAUAUUCCACACUUCCAGCCACCGCCGAACAGCCCUGGGCCGCCUUCAGCCAAGGCCGAUCUUCAUUCUUGGAUUGGCCUCAUCUAAAGCUGGCGCACGACCAAAUGAAGAGGCGUUGGCAGAGCUCCCAACUACUACACCCCCUAUGGACUACAGGGAAGUCCCUCUCUUCUUUUAUUGCUUUAUUUAUAUUGAGGACAAUGCAUACUUUAGGUGUGGGGAGAGUUAUGCAAAAUUUGGGCAAAGUUUUCAUUUUUUGUGCUACUUUUCAUGCCUGAUUUGCUGUCAUUUUGCAUGUUUUUUAGAUUUGUCUGAAGUGAGUCAAAGGUGAUUUGUGUGAUAGGUUAGUUUGGCAUGACUAAUGACAUUUGAUUGGUGAUAUGUUCCAAAAGUUACAUUAGAAAAUAAAUUGCAUAUAUUCAAGCUUUUGGAAAUUUCUUUCUCUAUUAGAUGACCUAGAACUUGAGUAAUUAUGCAUGUUGAACUUGCAACUAUCGGGUCUUGCGUUUUGAAAAUGAUAAGGGCAUUAGGUAACCCAUUAAGCCUUUCUUUAUUACCCAGCACAAUAUAUUCCCCUAGUUAGCCCAUUUGAGCCUUUUUAGCCUAUUUUUUUUAUAUAAUAACCUGUCUUUUAGCCUCAUACUCUUCUUUUGAUUAAGCCCUCUCCGAUUUGAACCCUAUGUUAGAAAGAAUUACUUUAAGUUCAUGUUGUGAUGCACUUUAUUUCCUCAGCACUAGUGAGAAAUGAAAUUUGGGUACGAAUAAGUCAUAGUAUGAAGGAAUAAUUAUGGGUAGUAAAGUAUAUAUAUAUAUAUAAAGAUAAAAAUCAAAAAUCAAAAAAAUCAAAAAAAUAAAAAAAAAACAAGAAAAAAAAGAAAAGAAAAAAAAUAUAUAAAAACAAAAAAAAAAGAAACAAAAAAAAUAAAUAAAAAUAAAUAAAUAAUUAUCUUAAUAAAGUAUUUUCAUUUAAUUUCAUUAUUAAAGUUUGGGUAGUGAGUAGAGUAAGGAUUUCAUUGUUUGUGCCGAUUUGUUUUUCAUAUGCUAGCAUCGUGUUCUUAUUGUAUUCUUUUCUGACAUAUUUUAGCCAUUUAUAUCAUUUUUCCUACCCUGACCAUAAGCCCCGUUACAACCCUUAUUGAAAGUCCUUUUGAUUCUUUAUGCUAGAUUCGAAUAUUUUAAGUAAGGGAGAUUUGAUUUUUACUCAAGCCUAUAGAAUAAUCUUUUGUUGCACUACCUGAGUGUUGAGCCAAUUAUACACUUAAUUUCUUCAGAGAGCAUGUGUGAAUACACUUUAUCUUGUGAGGUUGACUUGGCUUGAUGUGUUAAAAUUCGGAUUGAAUUGGUUUUGUUGGAUCCUCUUGUCAUAUCGAGUUGCCUGCGAUUUCUUUGACUUAUUUCGAAUUUAUGCUUGAGGACAAGCAUGAUCUAGGUAUGGGGAGAAUUGAUAGUUGGAAAUCGCAUGCGUUUUAUAUUUAUAUCAUAUGCGAUAUUUGAGUGAUUUUGAUUGGAUUCUACCUAAUUUAUAUGCAAAUUGUUUAUUUGCUGUAUGCAGAGGGUAAAUAUCAAAUUUGGCAUAAUUGGCAGAAAAAGGGAAGAAAAAUUCAGAUUUGCACAACUUAGUUAGUCAUGACCAUGACUAACUACACCCUCUUGAUAUGAGAAAUUAAUUAAAGGCCCAAAAGCCCAUCUACAAAAUAAUUAGGGCAAAAAUCAAAUAAGAAGAAAAACACACGCCUAUUGCCAAGGGGAGAACGACGAGGGCAGAAACGCACAGGAACAGGAGACUGACAGAUUCAUAGACCGCGCAUGAGCAAAUCGACAGAGAAGAUUUCUCCCUCCCACUAUGACUUUAUCCUUCUAUUUUGUUCUUUGUUAUUUGAUUAUGGAGUAGACAUUUUUCUGGUUUGAGGGGUGAUAAUGUUUUGGUUCUUUUGUUUUGGAGAUUCUUGAUUUUCUUUAUAAAAGUUCUUUUUUAUUAUCAA